GUUUGUUUUUGUAGGUUAACCAGAAAAAAAGGAGGAAGACUGGGCUUGACCAGCGGCACAGAAUUCAUCCAAACUCAACCCAAUUACUCAAAACACCAAAGGGCUGCCUGGCGGGAAGCAUGCAGCACAUCCUGGAAGCUAGUCUAGAAGACCCACGUAGUGGAAGAAGUUUCUGGGCCAGGCAAGCUGUCAGUGGUGCUCAGUCCACCAGAAGUCUGGUUUUUUUGGAGCAUUUUGGCUCCACAACACUGUCUAUGGAAUAUUUUCCCCUCCAGGACUCUGGGAAAUUUGAUCCAGGAACUUAGUGUAGCAAUCCAUGUUUCCUAGGGCUUUGUAGCAAGGGUAGCCGAGGGCUUCCUGCGGGGGCAAGCACUUUUGCCCCAAGAGGGCAGGGCAUUCUGGGAAGUGUAGUCCAGGAACUCCCGCAGUCUCAGGCACUUCCGUUCCCACAGGGCCGUGCUGAGGAAUUCUGGGAAACCUUGAUCCAGAGCUCCUGGGCGUAGCCGGCACUUCCGGCCCAGAGAGUCUCGCGUUCCCGGCUUGGGGGCGGCCCGGGUUGAGUCUCUCCGGCGCUGGGCUCCUCAGCUCAUCUCCCCGCCCAUCCUCCACGUCCUGACACUACAACAUUGGGCGAGUCGCUUAACGUCCCUGUGCCUCUGUUUGCCCAUCUGUGAAAGAGGCGAUAGCAGUGUCUUCAUAACGGCGUCGCAGUGUGCAAGGUGGCUCGUUAGCAGUGAUGGUGCUUCACAGCAUCCUUUCCUCCCCAGCCUGACUCAAGAAAGACUGCAGGAAGGAGGAGGGAGGCGGCGCCCCGUGGCUCCUGCGGGAAGGAGGAGGGGGGCGGCGCCCCGUGGCUCCUGCGGGAAGGAGGAGGGGGGCGGUGCCCCGUGGCUCCUGGCAGCAGGGCCCUCAAGAGAGGGAAUAGCUGCCUCUGCAAAGAUAUUCAGAUAAAUCGGAGGACACGUGGGAUGUGUACUUGGUCGUGAGCAAUGUCAGUAAUUAAGCCUUAGUAGUUAAAUUCCAGUCUAAAGGCUUUAUACGGACUACGCUUAGAGUGGCCCUGUGAAACUUGUAUUUGCUUUUUAGGAAUUAAUACUUAAGAACAAUUUUAUUAACCUAUUUUGUAAAUAAACCUAUAACAAGAUAAUAUAGGUAUGAGCUU
rnacentral:lncRNA from 1 species